GACAGAGGUCCCGAGCGUUAGGCGGAAUCACUGGGCUUAAAGCGUGUGUAGGUGGAUGCCUAAGUACCUUGUGAAAUCCCACGGCUUAACCGUGGAAUUGCUUGGUAUACUGGGUGUCUUGAGCCACUUAGGGGCAACCGGAACAAAUGGUGGAGCGGUGAAAUGCGUAGAUAUCAUUUGGAACGCCAAUGGUGAAAACAGGUUGCUGGGAGUGUGCUGACACUGAGACACGAAGCCAGGGAGCAAACGGG
rnacentral:rRNA from 1 species